rnacentral:rRNA from 1 species
UACGUAGGUGGCAAGCGUUGUCCGGAUUUACUGGGCGUAAAGAGCGCGCAGGCGGUCGUUCAAGUCGCGUGUGAAAGCCCCCGGCUCAACUGGGGAGGGUCACGCGAUACUGAUCGACUCGAAGGCAGGAGAGGGUAGUGGAAUUCCCGGUGUAGUGGUGAAAUGCGUAGAUAUCGGGAGGAACACCAGUGGCGAAGGCGGCGACCUGGGACAAUACUGACACUGAGGUGCGAAAGCGUGGGGAGCAAACAGG